rnacentral:snRNA from 1 species
UUACUUACCUGGACGGGGUCAAUGGGUGAUCAAUAAGGCUCAUGGCCUAGAUCAAUGGCUCACAUUGCACAUGGUUAUCUACCCUCUCCCAUUGAUGGGAGAGUGAAUGUCAUAAUUUGUGAUAGAAGGUUAGGCGUCCGCACGGCUCCUA